AUCAGCCUACGGGGGGCAGCAGUGAGGAAUAUUGGUCAAUGGGCGGGAGCCUGAACCAGCCAAGCCGCGUGAGGGAAGAAGGUACAGCGUAUCGUAAACCUCUUUUGUCAGGGAACAAAGGCGGGGACUAGUCCCCGGAUGAGGGUACCUGAAGAAAAAGCAUCGGCUAACUCCGUGCCAGCAGCCGCGGUAAUACGGAGGAUGCGAGCGUUAUCCGGAUUUAUUGGGUUUAAAGGGUGCGUAGGCGGUCCGGAAAGUCAGCGGUAAAAGCCCGGGGCUCAACCCCGGCGAGCCGUUGAAACUGU
rnacentral:rRNA from 1 species